CCAGAGGUUCACUUACAUUUCUCUUUGUUCUAGGAUAUGUUGCACCACUGCCAUCACAGCAUAAUUAUCCCAACAUGUACACCAUCAUUCAGCAGCCAGCUACCACCACCUCUGUUGUAGUGGUUGGAGGUUGUCCUGCCUGCAGAGUUGGUGUAUUGGAAGACACGUUCACCUGUCUUGGUGUCUUUUGUGCCAUCGUAUUCUUUCCAAUUGGAAUUCUUUUCUGUCUUGCUCUGAGGCAACGAAGAUGUCCUAACUGUGGGGCAACUUUUGGUUAAGGGAUCAACCUGAACAGGCUUAUGGAGGCCACAUCUGUUGUAGUACUUGUUUCUAAUGUAAAUGUCAUGUACAAUCAUUUUAUUUGAUUAUGCUUGAGACGUGUUUUGUAAAGUGUGAUUAGUCUUGCAUGUGAUGAACUUAAUCUGUUUUAUGAGCAUGUGCAUUGCAAAACAUGAAAAUCCACCUUAUUUCCAUGUUUAAUGGCACCUUUAAACUUAAAUAAAACUGCUUCUCUUUUUGCAAUCUUCA